CCAUACCUAGGCGGGGAGCCAGCGGUGCCCUGUACCGGCAAUCCGCUUUAGCCGGGCUGAGCUGCUUUGCCUCGGUUUUAUCGGCGGAAAACCGGGAAUUACCGCGCGGUGAUGAAAGCCGGGAGCGGCGCGAUUUCUGUGCUUUAACCCCGUCAGGUCCGAAAGGAAGCAGCGGUAAAAGACUACAUGGGAUGUGUUGCCGUAAAACCCUGCCGGAGCCGCAAAGUCAUUAACGGCCCGCGGAUACUAUCAAAGCAAGGCGGUAUGG
rnacentral:SRP_RNA from 1 species